rnacentral:rRNA from 1 species
UGGGGAAUUUUGGACAAUGGGGGCAACCCUGAUCCAGCAACGCCGCGUGAAUGAAGAAGGCCUUAGGGUUGUAAAGUUCUUUUGUCUGGGAGCAAAGUGCUAAGGUAAAUAGCUUUAGUAUAUGAGAGUACCAGAAGAAUAAGCACCGGCUAACUACGUGCCAGCAGCCGCGGUAAUACGUAGGGUGCGAGCGUUAAUCGGAAUUACUGGGCGUAAAGGGUGCGCAGGCGGAUAUGUAAGUUAGAUGUGAAAUCCCCGGGCUUAACCUGGGAAUGGCAUUUAAGACUGCAUGUCUAGAGUUUAUCAGAGGGGGGUAGAAUUCCAAGUGUAACAGUGAAAUGCGUAGAGAUUUGGAGGAAUACCGGUGGCGAAGGCGACCCCCUGGGAAAGAACUGACGCUCAGGCACGAAAGCGUGGGUAGCAAACAGG